CACGUAGGGCGCAAGCGUUGUCCGGAAUUAUUGGGCGUAAAGAGCUCGUAGGCGGUUUGUCGCGUCUGCUGUGAAAACGCGGGGCUCAACUCCGCGCCUGCAGUGGGUACGGGCAGACUAGAGUGCAGUAGGGGAGACUGGAAUUCCUGGUGUAGCGGUGGAAUGCGCAGAUAUCAGGAGGAACACCGGUGGCGAAGGCGGGUCUCUGGGCUGUAACUGACGCUGGAGGAGCGAAAGCCGUGGGUAGCGAACAGG
rnacentral:rRNA from 1 species